rnacentral:rRNA from 1 species
AACGUAGGAGACAAACGUUAUCCGGAGUUACUGGGCGUAAAGGGCGUGUAGGUGGUAUCGUAAGUCUGGCGUGAAAUUUCUCGGCUUAACCGAGGCAGGUCGUCGGAUACUGCGAGGCUAGAGGACGGUAGAGGCGUGUGGAAUUCCGGGUGUAGUGGUGAAAUGCGUAGAGAUCCGGAGGAACACCAGUGGCGAGGCGAACACGCUGGGC